rnacentral:rRNA from 1 species
CGGACGGGUGAGUAACACGUGGGAACGUGCCCUUGGUUCGGAACAACUCAGGGAAACUUGAGCUAAUACCGAAUGUGCCCCCUCCCCUUAAUCAGGAGGGUGGGAAAGAUUUAUCGCCAUUGGAGCGGCCCGCGUCUGAUUAGCUAGUUGGUGGGGUAAAGGCCCACCAAGGCUACGAUCAGUAGCUGGUCUGAGAGGAUGAUCAGCCACACUGGGACUGAGACACGGCCCAG